rnacentral:tRNA from 1 species
GGAGGGAUGGCCGAGUGGCUGAAGGCGCACGCCUGGAAAGCGUGUAUACGUUAAUCCGUAUCGUGGGUUCGAAUCCCACUCUCUCCGCCA